UUUAGAAAAUAUAAAAUACUAGAUUAGUGUUAGUUAUAUGCUUAAAAAUUAAAAAAUUUGGCGGUGAUUUAAUCUUUUCAGAGGAAUUUGUUUUUUAAUCGAUAAUCCACGAAAAAUCUUACUUAUUUUAGUGUUAAAUAGAUUUUAAAAUUUAAACAGUUUGUAUACCAUCAUUAUUAGAUAAUUUUGAAAAAAAAAAUUAUUAGAUAUAAAUUAUUAUUGAAAUUAGAUCAUGGUGCAGCUAAUAAAUAAGUUAAAAUGAAUUACAAUAAAUUAUUUUAUAAUGGAUUAAUAAAAUAAUUUUUAUUUUGAAAGAGGAUUUGAUAGUAUUAUAAUUUUAAUAGGUUUAUUAGAAAAUAGCUCUAAAUCAUGUACAUAUCGCCCGUCGCUUUCAUUUAUAAAUGAAAUAAGUCGUAACAUA
rnacentral:rRNA from 1 species